rnacentral:rRNA from 1 species
UACGAAGGGGGCUAGCGUUGCCCGGAAUUACUGGGCGUAAAGCGCACGUAGGCGGUUUCUUAAGUCGGUGGUGAAAUCCUGGAGCUCAACUCCAGAACUGCCUUCGAUACUGGGAAACUUGAGUCCGGGAGAGGUGAGUGGAACUGCGAGUGUAGAGGUGAAAUUCGUAGAUAUUCGCAAGAACACCAGUGGCGAAGGCGGCUCACUGGCCCGAUACUGACGCUGAGGCACGAAAGCGUGGGGAGCAAACAGG